GGGUUGUGAGGUUAAGCGACUAAGCGUACACGGUGGAUGCCUUGGCAGUCAGAGGCGAUGAAGGGCGUGCUAAUCUGCGAUAAGCGCCGGUAAGGUGAUAUGAACCGUUAUAACCGGCGAUACCCGAAUGGGGAAACCCAGUGUGACUCGUCACACUAUCAUUAACUGAAUCCAUAGGUUAAUGAGGCGAACCGGGGGAACUGAAACAUCUAAGUACCCCGAGGAAAAGAAAUCAACCGAGAUUCCCCCA
rnacentral:rRNA from 1 species